AACGGCCGUACCAUGCUGAAUAUACCGGUUCUCGUUAGAUCACCGAGGUCAAGCAUCAUUGGGCGCGGUCAGUACUUGGGUGGGUGACCACCUGGGAACACUGCGUGCCGUU
rnacentral:rRNA from 1 species